GACGGAGGGGGCUAGCGUUGUUCGGAAUGACUGGGCGUAAAGGGCGUGUAGGCUGUUGAUCAAGUCAAGCGUGAAAGCCUCGGGCUUAACCCGAGAACUGCGUUUGAUACUGGUUGACUUGAGGACGAGAGAGGAAAGUGGAAUUCCGAGUGUAGAGGUGAAAUUCGUAGAUAUUCGGAGGAACAUCAGAGGCGAAGGCGGCUUUCUGGCUCGUAUCUGACGCUGAGGCGCGAAAGCGUGGGGAGCAAACAGG
rnacentral:rRNA from 1 species